CCAGAAGGUAUAACAAUAGGGGUAAAUAUGACUGGAUAAUAUAACAGAGGAUAAAUCUAGACAAUAUUUAAAAGUAUAGGAUAAAAUUUGAAACACAUCAAAGAAAUAAAAUUCAAAAAGCCACAAGCGCAAAAACUAGAAUAGUUGGCAAAUGCCGUUGAGUGAAUUGUCAUUGUCCCUAUUUCCUGCUUUGAGCAAAUGGUAACUGCACACUAUCCAGUAUUACAACCUCAAGCUCUGAUCCUUUAUGCCUUAAAAACCACGACAUGAGAGGAUCAUGCUAUUUACAACACAAGCCCGCACCCCGAACGAACGGGGAGAAAAAUUGGGUGGCUAAGUGGAGAAUGCCCUUAAUAGCAGCACCUCCCUCCCCCUGCACAACUUGGGCAAAACAAUCCAUCCAGAACAACAACAAUCCAACCAAAC
rnacentral:lncRNA from 1 species